rnacentral:rRNA from 1 species
GUCUACGGCCUUUCCACCCUGAACAAGCCCGAUCCCGUCUGAUCUCGGAAGCUAAGCAGGGUCGGGCCUGGUUAGUACUUGAUCCCGUCUGAUCUCGGAACCUAAGCAGGGUCAGGCCUGGUUAGUACUUGAAUGGGAGACCACCUAGGAAGACCAGGUGCUGUAAGCG